UCUGGCUCAGGACGAACGCUGGCGGCGUGCUUAACACAUGCAAGUCGAGCGGAAAGGCCCUUCGGGGUACUCGAGCGGCGAACGGGUGAGUAACACGUGAGCAACCUGCCCUAGGCUUUGGGAUAACCCUCGGAAACGGGGGCUAAUACCGAAUAUUCACUCAUGGGCGCAUGUUUGUGGGUGGAAAGUUUUUCGGCUUGGGAUGGGCUCGCGGCCUAUCAGCUUGUUGGUGGGGUAAUGGCCUACCAAGGCGACGACGGGUAGCCGGCCUGAGAGGGCGACCGGCCACACUGGGACUGAGACACGGCCCAGACUCCUACGGGAGGCAGCAGUGGGGAAUAUUGCACAAUGGGCGGAAGCCUGAUGCAGCGACGCCGCGUGAGGGAUGACGGCCUUCGGGUUGUAAACCUCUUUCAGCAGGGACGAAGCGCAAGUGACGGUACCUGCAGAAGAAGCGCCGGCCAACUACGUGCCAGCAGCCGCGGUAAGACGUAGGGCGCGAGCGUUGUCCGGAUUUAUUGGGCGUAAAGAGCUCGUAGGCGGCUUGUCGCGUCGACUGUGAAAACCCGUGGCUCAACUGCGGGCCUGCAGUCGAUACGGGCAGGCUAGAGUUCGGUAGGGGAGACUGGAAUUCCUGGUGUAGCGGUGAAAUGCGCAGAUAUCAGGAGGAACACCGGUGGCGAAGGCGGGUCUCUGGGCCGAUACUGACGCUGAGGAGCGAAAGCGUGGGGAGCGAACAGGAUUAGAUACCCUGGUAGUCCACGCUGUAAACGUUUGACGCCAUGUGUGGGGGGCCUCUCCGGAUCUCGGUGCCGCAGCUUACGCAUUAAGCGCCCUGCCUGGGGAGUAGGGCCGCGAGGCUAAAACUCAAAGGAAUUUACGGGGGCCCGCACAAGCGGCGGAGCAUGCGGAUUAAUUCGAUGCAACGCGAAGAACCUUACCUGGGUUUGACAUCGCCGGAAAUCCUGCAGAGAUGUGGGGUCCUUCGGGGCCGGUGACAGGUGGUGCAUGGUUGGCGUCCGCUCGUGUCGUGAGAUGUUGGGUUAAGUCCCG
rnacentral:rRNA from 1 species